ensembl:lncRNA
CCGUGUGUGAUUUGUACAGCGCGCUGGCCAAUGGGGAGGCGGCUCUCGGACUCGCGGGCUGGACGCGGCUCCCCUCACCGGGCCUUUGGCAGCGAAACAAACGUCGCAGGCUACUUUUUGACGCGCAAACUCCUCAGCCAAUCAGAGAGCAGCCUCACUGGACCGCAUUCGAGAGUCCAAAUAUGCGUAACUUUCCAUCUUAAUAGCCCAUAUCUAACCUUACAGAGUUAACAUGUUUUAGGUGCCUGUCAUGUUCUCGAAAAUUCCUUGUUUAUAUGAGAAGCAUGAUGUUUGCCUCAUGUGUUUAUGUGUUGAUUACACGUGCCAGUGUUUUAAUUUGCGCUGAUCUUCCGGGAAUCUCGCUCACGGGCGCACUUGCACAGUAGCAAAAGGUGACGACAAAGCGUGUACUCUUAAUCUCAGGAAUAAUUAUCAAUCCUGAGAGAAAAAAAAAUCUAGCAGACUCAGCCCCUUAUUAUCCCCGAGACCGUGUAAAGACGGUGAAAGGGAGAAAAAGCAAACAGUGAACGCAGACGCUUAUGCGCGCUUCUCCUGCAUUGUGUCUCUCAGCCAGAGGAAUUUAAGGAGGUUUAAUUGCCUAAAACAGUCCUCUCGUCCACAUGACUGUCACACUGCAAGUGCUCAUGUUGAUACAUCGAAAUGUAACACCAGAUGACUGGAGAUGGACUGCCACUGGACUAGGGCCAUGCUGGAUAAGCCUGAAAGCAGUAGGCAGGGAUGCACUACAGGGGUAUAUGUGACACUUUUCUAAAGUAAAAAAAGAAGAGCUAUGAGCAUCCGAGGCGAUUUUUUUUCGAAGGCAGACGACCAAACAGUUAGUUUUUAUACUCAUAAGAAGUGAUAAAAAAAACAAAAACAAAACAAGAACAACAACAACCAGAGGAUCUGACUAAAAACACUAUCCAGGAUCAUCCACACACAGACGGACUUCCCUGCACCCACUGAUGGCCAGAGCAGGGAACAGAAAUUACUUUUAUAGCCACGACUGGGUUUAGACUGUCAGCAGAAAACCUUCUGAAGUUCCACCCGAAAAUCUUACGAAGAACAGAAGAGGGACAUCCGAACAUCUUCCAAAAAGAAGAAGGAGUGGAACGGAGCAGGAGACGUGUUCAUAUCCCCGACUUUACCCCGGUUGAGCUGGUUUGAGAUGUUCUGCACUGAAAAGAAAGGAGAAGCCAAGUGACAAAUAAAUGGAUCCAAUUAAAACACACUUCCACACUUCAUGUCAGCAGUGUGAGGAGUGUGGAGCUCACCCUUCUCCCCAAGUUCAAAGGCACAGGAGCUCAGAGGGCUGGAUUUGUUCAGGCAUAUUUGGUAAACCCCUGGAUUUGAAUUGUAGUGUGCAAGGCCAGAAGAUGAUGUUUAAGAAAUGUUACAUUGUGAGAUUUUGUGUGAAAUCCCCAUAAUAAAUUCACCAAGUAUGCACAAGAAAUGGCUAUUCAUGUUUGUGGUCCAAAGUUUCUUCUUCUUCUUUUUUUUCCUUUCUGAUGUAACCUUAGAGGUAUAGGUGUAUGAAUAAAGUAUAUGUGACUUUUUAAAAGUCCAAAAAAACAAACAAACAACCCCCCCCCCCCCCCCCCAAAAAAAAAAAAAACAGCAUGUAGAAAAUAGAG